AGCUCCAAUAGCGUAUAUUAAAGUUGUUGCAGUUAAAAAGCUCGUAGUUGGAUUUGUGGUAUAUGUUGAGCUCCCAUCCUAUUGGAUUGGUGUAGCCUGGCAUAGCCAUCCUUGGGCAGAACCUGUGUGGCAUUAGGUUGUCGUGCAGGGUAUGCUUAUCGUUUACUGUGAAAAAAUUAGAGUGUUCAAAGCAGGCUUAUGCCGUUGAAUAUAUUAGCAUGGAAUAAUAAGAUAGGAUCUUGGUACUAUUUUGUUGGUUUGCGCACCGAGGUAAUGGUUAAGAGGGACAGUUGGGGGUAUUCGUAUUCCAUUGUCAGAGGUGAAAUUCUUGGAUUUUUGGAAGACGAACUACUGCGAAAGCAUUUACCAAGGAUGUUUUCAUUAAUCAAGAACGAAAGUA
rnacentral:rRNA from 1 species